AAAACCCUAGUCUAGGGCUUUUCUCUUUGGGGAGACAUUUUGUUACUGAUUCAAACCUGCUAUUCAUUUUGAGUCAGUUCAGGUUUUCUGUUUCUUCCUAGUUCAAUCUUGGUAGGCUGUGUAUGUCUGGGAAUUUAUCCCUUUCCUCUAAGUUUUCCAAUUUGUUAGGAUAUGGUUGUUCAUAGUAGCCUCUAAUCAUCCUUUUUAUUUCUUUGGUAACAGUUGUAAUGUCUCCUUUUUCAUUUCUGCUUGUAUUUAUUUGGGUCUCCUUUCUUUCUUUCUUUUUUUUUUUUUUUUGGUUAGCCUCACUAGUGGUUUAU
rnacentral:lncRNA from 1 species